AUUGAACGCUGGCGGCAUGCCUUACACAUGCAAGUCGAACGGUAACGGGCCUUCGGGUGCCGACGAGUGGCGAACGGGUGAGUAAUACAUCGGAACGUGUCCGAUCGUGGGGGAUAACGAGGCGAAAGCUUUGCUAAUACCGCAUACGAUCUACGGAUGAAAGCAGGGGACCGCAAGGCCUUGCGCGGACGGAGCGGCCGAUGGCAGAUUAGGUAGUUGGUGGGAUAAAAGCUUACCAAGCCGACGAUCUGUAGCUGGUCUGAGAGGAUGAUCAGCCACACUGGGACUGAGACACGGCCCAGACUCCUACGGGAGGCAGCAGUGGGGAAUUUUGGACAAUGGGCGCAAGCCUGAUCCAGCCAUGCCGCGUGCAGGAUGAAGGCCUUCGGGUUGUAAACUGCUUUUGUACGAAACGAAAAGCCUUCUUUUAAUACAGGAGGGUCAUGACGGUACCGUAAGAAUAAGCACCGGCUAACUACGUG
rnacentral:rRNA from 1 species